rfam:Ketogulonicigenium vulgare Y25, complete genome.
UCACUUGAACCUGCCGAUGCGCCGCCUUAUCUAGCAAUUGUCCUUCGGGACUAUGGACAUAAACGCGCAUGUAAUAAGCGGAUCGGACCCGGGGGCGGUACCCGGCGACUCCACCAUAUUCCUUUAUUGGGGGAUCAGGGGGUCGAAACAGGAUCGACGAACGUCUAAAGAUGUUAGCUUUGGCUCGGUGAGGUACCACCGUUAUCGGUCCGUUUUGUACAGUUGCCAAUAACAACCGUGCUCCGGCAAUGGCUCUGGCUGCUUAAGCAGUUCGAGUCGCCGAAACUAAGUCCUUGCGCUUAGCCGCGUAAGGCGGGGUUCGCAGGUACCUGGCAACAGAAACCUGCACU